UACAGAGGGUGCAAGCGUUAAUCGGAAUUACUGGGCGUAAAGCGUGCGUAGACGGUUGCGUAAGUCAGAUGUGAAAGCCCCGGGCUCAACCUGGGAAUUGCAUUUGAGACUGCGUAGCUAGGGUGCGGAAGAGGGAAGCGGAAUUUCCGGUGUAGCGGUGAAAUGCGUAGAUAUCGGAAGGAACACCAGUGGCGAAAGCGGCUUCCUGGUCCAGCACCGACGUUCAGGCACAAAAGCGUGGGGAGCAAACAGG
rnacentral:rRNA from 1 species